UACGUAGGGGGCAAGCGUUGUCCGGAAUUAUUGGGCGUAAAGAGCGUGUAGGCGGCCAGAUAAGUCCGCUGUGAAAUCUCGAGGCUCAACUUCGAGCUGUCGGUGGAAACUAUCUGGCUAGAGUCCGGAAGAGGAGAAUGGAAUUCCUGGUGUAGCGGUGAAAUGCGCAGAUAUCAGGAAGAACACCCGUGGCGAAGGCGGUUCUCUGGGACGGUACUGACGCUGAGAUACGAAAGCGUGGGGAGCAAACAGG
rnacentral:rRNA from 1 species